CUUAUUUAUAAAAUUUCUCUUUGAUGAAGUGUAGUUCUCUGUGACUGAAAAAAUGCAUAUUUAAUUGAUGAAAUUUAGUUUAAUUGCUGAGCAGAACUAAAUUAAUAUUUCCUGUCAAAAUUAAAUUUAUUGCAUACCUAAAUGAUGAAAUAUAGUUUGCUGUGUACCUAGAACCCCUUGUACGUCUGGACAUCUCUGGAAUGACAACUGGUAUAUGUGAUGCUUUUCUGGCUAUUGGUGAAGUUUUCGAAAUUGCAAAUUAUAAUAUCAGGUUUUUGAAGUAUGCUUGCUUCCGCUUUUCAGUGUAACCGGACACUUAUUUCGUAGACAACAAAUGAGUUUUUUCCUGCUUAUUUCAUCUCUCUCUCCCUCUCUCUCUCUCUCGCGAUUACCAAUCAAUUGAAUAGCAUACCAACUGUAACAAGUUUGGUUGGAGAAAAUAAAUCUUGUGAUGAGCUUUAGAAGUACUUAAAUGCCAAAUAUAAACCAGGCCUGUCUUGGUGAAAGGCCAAUUGGUUCUGACAUUCAAAUAUGAUCUGCAUUUUACCUUCUGCAUCUUGAUCCUGACAAAUUUUAUCAAGGUAGAUCUUAUGGACGUAGUCAUGUGAUGUCCUACACUGAACAAUUGUAAUUUUGCAUCAUCAAGGAUGGCCUUGUUACUGCUUGAUGUCAACAUUGAAUUAAUUUUAUUAAGCGUCUAACCAUGACUGCUGCGGAACUACUUUAUGGCCAAAAUUCAAUUAGUGGUGUAACUGGACAUGAUCCUGUUGCUUUUUGCUGAGAUUGACAUUUGUGAGGCAAAAUAUUGAACUAUUUCUUAUAUUGUAGUUAUGAUUUUUUUCCCAUGGUUUUCCCUUUUCCCAAGUACAAGUUCUCAUGCAGUUUGAAAAAUAAGGCAAACUACAGGUCCAUGGAGAAAUUUUAUGGAAAUGUUUACAAUUACAAAGGCAGCAAGAAACUAAGCUUCUUUUACAUUGAGUUUUAGGUCCGUCACAUGAAUCCUUCGAACUUAAGGAUGUCCCACAUGUUUUUGGGUUUAUUAAGUUUGUGCUAUGAAGUUGAGUCAUUUCAUUGUGGACAUUCUAUAUUUGGAAGAUCGAAGAUGACCUAUUAGGAUCCUCCUGGUUUGCUCAUCAGAACAUUUUACUCGCAGGGGAGCUAUUGGGCAGCCAAGGCUACUGGUUCCUGUCGUCUUGGUCAUGUUAUAUAACCGGUGGAAUGGGUAAGAACUUGAGAAAAUGCAUAUGUUCAUUCAAAUAUAUCCUUAUCAUUUUGAAUCAGUUCUUGGAUUAUAGUUUGGUAUCUCAUUCGGUGAUUUGUAAGCAGUAUUUUGGUUCCGGAUUAUGGAUUCAUGCACCUCGAGUUGAUACCAAUGCUGGUGGGAUUCUUUACGUACAAAUUUGCCACUUUUUUCCAGGCUAUUGAGGAGGCAAUAACUGUGGCUAGUGGAAAAACACAAGCUUAAAUUUGGCUUAUUUAAUUCUAUAUACAUUUCAUUUAGUUAUUACUGAUGGUGGAAAAACUCAGAUAUAUGUAUAUGUGAUGUUUUAUUCAUUUUAUUUUCCUUCA
rnacentral:lncRNA from 1 species